rnacentral:rRNA from 1 species
AAUGGAGAGUUUGAUCCUGGCUCAGGACGAACGCUGGCGGCGUGCUUAACACAUGCAAGUCAAGGAGAACGUUUUCUUCGGAAAAUUAUUAAACUGGCGAACGGGUGAGUAACGCGUAGACAACCUGCCCUAAAGAUUGGGAUAACCCCGGGAAACCGGGACUAAUACCGAAUGAAGCAACUGACCCAUCGGGGUACAGUUGUUAAAGUGGGCUUCGGCUCACACUUUAGGAUGGGUCUGCGUCCGAUUAGCUUGUUGGUAAGGUAAUGGCUUACCAAGGCGAUGAUCGGUAGCUGGUCUGAGAGGAUGAUCAGCCACACUGG